ensembl:lncRNA
CUAUAAGGAAAAAGGCAUGACUGGAAAAAGUGAUGAUUUGAUCCCUACUCCCCCAUGUCCUUCCCAUGCCAGCAGGCUGGCUCUCUCCCCAGGGGAACGCUCUCCAGACUGCCAUUUCCAAAGGCACGUUAAAAUGGACCAAAGUCUUAUGAAAAUGAUACUGUUAUGGGAAGAAGUAGUUAAGUCAGAGGGAAAAAUGCAGGAAGAAUGUCUGGAUGAAAAGAACAUAGCCAUUGAUUUGAAAACGAGCAAAUGUUGAAAAUAUUGCCAGUGUUUCUCCACUUACCCCUACAAAGCCAUAAGAAGACUAGGAAUUGCUCAACCACCGUGGAGCCUGGAACACGAGUGCUCUCCAGUACCCUGUGAAGUUGCACUGCAGCUAUCAUGAGAAAUGAAACAAUGCUCUUCAUCCUGGUUCCUGGAAAAAGACAGAAAUAUGGUAUUUCACCAGAAAAGUCUGUCCAAGUAGGAACUGCAAGGCGACUGCCCUGCCUGGGGAAAGAAAUUGGCAGCAGCUAGGCAUUUUUAGAUCCUGUCUGGAAGGGAGGCUGAAGUGUGUGCAGCUGCACUCAUCAUAAUAGUGCUGCCCUGGCAGCAGCUGCAAGCAAGGGAAGUCCUGUGUACACCUUGUGUGCAGUGAAUGAAGAUGACAAGAGCAGGGUUGCUUUGAAGAGCAGAUGCCCUUUGAAGGCAGAACAAGCUACCACCUAAGCCACGCUUGCUUGUUUCGACCAACUGGCAGGCCAUGUCUUGUCUGUCACAGCUUCACUGCUGCAACACUGAAUCUACUUAGAGAGCAUUAAGUCUGGGAGUGCAAGCCAGAUCUUUGUCUUGCUUGGCCAUGCUGCCACCCAGAGGGGCCUGGGCAAUCUAGAGAAAUGGGCUGAAAAGAACCUCAUGGAGUUCAACAGUGAGAAGUGCUGAGUCCUGCCUCUGGGGAAAUAAACCCACAGGCUGGGGUCAUCCAGAUGGAAGCAGCUCUGUAGGAAAGGCCCUGAGGUCCCGGUGGGCACAGUAGGUUCAGCAUGUGUCACUAAGACGACUAACAGUAUUCUUGGCUGGAUUAGGCAAAGUAUCACCAGUAGGCCAAGGGGAGUGAUCCUUCUCCUUUGCUCAGCACUAGCAAGGCCUCACCUGGAGUGCUGGGCUCAUUUCUGGCCCCCUGGAGAGAGCCCGGCGCAGAGACACUGAGAUGCUGCAAGGCCUGGAGCAGCUCUGCUGUGAGCAGAAGCUGAGAGAGCUGGGGCUGCUGAGCCUGGAGAAGACGCCCAGGGAGUUCUCAUCUGUGCCCAUGAAUACUUGAAGGGAGCCAGGCUCUGUUCAGUGGUGCCCAAUGGCAGAACCAAAGGCACUGGACACAAAUUGGAGCACAAGGAGGUUCCCUCUGACCAUCAGGCAGCACUUCUGUGCUGUGCUGGUUAUGGAGAGCUGCCACGGGGACCCAGAGGCUGUGGGGUCUCCUCCUUGGAGAUCUCCAAAAGUUACCUGGACAUGGUACCAGGCACACUGCUCUGGGUGCAUCCGGCACUCACUCAGUUGAGGGGACAGAGUAAGUACCAAGAUAGAUAUUCCUGUGACUUUCCAUUCUUAGUUUCUCAGCUGUUAGCCUUUAGUUUAAUGUUACAAAGGACAUAUAUCACACUAUAUACAAUACAUGUAUACACAUAUACGCAUAUGCACACACAUAUACACAUAAGCAUCAUAGAAUGGUUUUAGUUGGAAGGGGCCUCAAGGAUCAUCAUGUUCCAACCCAACUGCCACAGGCAGGAUUGCCAAAUAUGUGUGUGUGUAUUAAAGUACUUUAGAAGUGAAGACAGCGAAAAUACAGACUAGCACUGUUAAUGAUAUCGAUCCACCCUGUUUCUGAAAUCACUACUAUUAUACGUGUUACUUGAAAACAUGCUAGUCUGUGAGGAAUACAAAAUUCCCUUUAAAAAGCCUGAUUGAUUUCCAUAUAUAGUUAAUCUUGCACAGCUGAUUACUGCAUUCCUACUGUAGCUUGUACCUACUUGAGAAAAACUCAUGAGGAAUAUUCUACGGAAUCAAUAUACGGCCAAGUUCAUUCCUGCUCUGAAUCACUGAGGAGACUGAGGUGUUGAAAACUGCAGAGGAAAAAUUAACAUCUAUUUAAGUAGUAUUAAUUAUGCUUGUCAGUUUUAUAACACAUCUGAGAACUGUAUUAAAGAACCACAACAUGAUUAUUUUGUAGAGUGUUUCUGUUUUAAGGUGUAUAUACA